AUGAACGCUGGCGGCGUGCCUAAUACAUGCAAGUCGAGCGAACAGAUGAGGAGCUUGCUCCUCUGACGUUAGCGGCGGACGGGUGAGUAACACGUGGAUAACCUACCUAUAAGACUGGGAUAACUUCGGGAAACCGGAGCUAAUACCGGAUAAUAUAUUGAACCGCAUGGUUCAAUAGUGAAAGACGGUUUUGCUGUCACUUAUAGAUGGAUCCGCGCCGCAUUAGCUAGUUGGUAAGGUAACGGCUUACCAAGGCAACGAUGCGUAGCCGACCUGAGAGGGUGAUCGGCCACACUGGAGCUGAGACACGGUCCAGACUCCUACGGGAGGCAGCAGUAGGGAAUCUUCCGCAAUGGGCGAAAGCCUGACGGAGCAACGCCGCGUGAGUGAUGAAGGUCUUCGGAUCGUAAAACUCUGUUAUUAGGGAAGAACAAAUGUGUAAGUAACUAUGCACGUCUUGACGGUACCUAAUCAGAAAGCCACGGCUAACUACGU
rnacentral:rRNA from 1 species